rnacentral:rRNA from 1 species
GUGCCUAAUACAUGCAAGUCGAGCGAACGGACGAGAAGCUUGCUUCUCUGAUGUUAGCGGCGGACGGGUGAGUAACACGUGGAUAACCUACCUAUAAGACUGGGAUAACUUCGGGAAACCGGAGCUAAUACCGGAUAAUAUUUUGAACCGCAUGGUUCAAAAGUGAAAGACGGUCUUGCUGUCACUUAUAGAUGGAUCCGCGCUGCAUUAGCUAGUUGGUAAGGUAACGGCUUACCAAGGCAACGAUGCAUAGCCGACCUGAGAGGGUGAUCGGCCACACUGGAACUGAGACACGGUCCAGACUCCUACGGGAGGCAGCAGUAGGGAAUCUUCCGCAAUGGGCGAAAGCCUGACGGAGCAACGCCGCGUGAGUGAUGAAGGUCUUCGGAUCGUAAAACUCUGUUAUUAGGGAAGAACAUAUGUGUAAGUAACUGUGCACAUCUUGACGGUACCUAAUCAGAAAGCCACGGCUAACUACGUGCCAGCAGCCGCGGUAAUACGUAGGUGGCAAGCGUUAUCCGGAAUUAUUGGGCGUAAAGCGCGCGUAGGCGGUUUUUUAAGUCUGAUGUGAAAGCCCACGGCUCAACCGUGGAGGGUCAUUGGAAACUGGAAAACUUGAGUGCAGAAGAGGAAAGUGGAAUUCCAUGUGUAGCGGUGAAAUGCGCAGAGAUAUGGAGGAACACCAGUGGCGAAGGCGACUUUCUGGUCUGUAACUGACGCUGAUGUGCGAAAGCGUGGGGAUCAAACAGGAUUAGAUACCCUGGUAGUCCACGCCGUAAACGAUGAGUGCUAAGUGUUAGGGGGUUUCCGCCCCUUAGUGCUGCAGCUAACGCAUUAAGCACUCCGCCUGGGGAGUACGACCGCAAGGUUGAAACUCAAAGGAAUUGACGGC